GACGAACGCUGGCGGCGUGCUUAACACAUGCAAGUCGAACGGAAAGACCCUGCUUUUGUGGGGUGCUCGAGUGGCGAACGGGUGAGUAACACGUGAGUAACCUGCCCUUGACUUUGGGAUAACUUUAGGAAACUGGGGCUAAUACCGGAUAGGAGCUCCUGCUGCAUGGUGGGGGUUGGAAAGUUUCGGCGGUUGGGGAUGGACUCGCGGCUUAUCAGCUUGUUGGUGGGGUAGUGGCUUACCAAGGCUUUGACGGGUAGCCGGCCUGAGAGGGUGACCGGCCACAUUGGGACUGAGAUACGGCCCAGACUCCUACGGGAGGCAGCAGUGGGGAAUAUUGCACAAUGGGCGGAAGCCUGAUGCAGCAACGCCGCGUGCGGGAUGACGGCCUUCGGGUUGUAAACCGCUUUCGCCUGUGACGAAGCGUGAGUGACGGUAAUGGGUAAAGAAGCACCGGCUAACUACGUG
rnacentral:rRNA from 1 species